GACAUUUUUAUAUUAAUUGUGCAAAAUAUUUUAAACACUAUCUCACCCAAAAGCGAAAUAUAAAUAUUAAAACAAUGUUACUUAAACAAAUGUAAGUAAGGAAAACCCAGAGCUUUAUUGUAAAAAAUACCUCACAGUAUAUUGUGGCAAUGGAUGGGUAUCAAGAAGCUCCAAAGCAAUAAUAGAUCCGUUUAGAUUAUAGAUAUUUUUUUAAAGACCUGGAUAUUUUGUUUUUUGUUUUUUGAAAAUCAGAAUAUUCAAGGAGAUAAUGAACAUGUAUGUGUUGAUUGGUUAUUUAUUGAAAGAAAAAGCUGAUUACCUCUAAGUAGUUUCUUUUUUUGUGACGUAAUUGGACACUGCUUCAAAUUUGCUUGUUUGGUUUGUUUGCCUUCUUUGUGAUCAGAUUCCUAAAAAUGUGAAUUUUAAAGUUUGAACUCCAUGAACUUGUGUAUUU